rfam:Danio rerio chromosome 5, GRCz11 reference primary assembly.
GUCGGCAGCUAGCUCUCUGCAUCUCUCACUUGGUCGCCCACUGAAGCUAAGCAGGGCUGCGCCCGGUCUGUACCUGGAUGGGAGACCACAUGGGAAAGCUAGGUUACUGCCGGAA